GACGAACGCUGGCGGCGUGCUUAACACAUGCAAGUCGAACGGACAGGCCCUGCUCUUGCGGCGUGCUCGAGUGCCGAACGGGUGAGUAACACGUGUGUAACCUGUCCCUAUCUUUGUGAUAACUUUACGAAACAGGGGCUAAUACCGCAUAGGAGCUCCUGCUGCGUGGUGUGCGUUGGAAAGAUUCGGCCGUUGGGGCUGGUCUCGCUGCUUACCCGCUUGUUGGUGGGGUAGGGACUUACCAAGGCUUUGACGGGUAGCCUGCCUGGGAGGGUUAACGGCCACAAUAGGACUGAGAUACGGCGCAGUCUCCAACGGGAGGCAGCAGUGGGGAGUAUUACACAAUGAACGGACGCGUGAUGUAGAAACCCCGCGUGCGGGAUGACGGCCUUCGGGUGGUGAACCGCUUUGGCCUGAGACGAGACGUGAGUGACGGUAAUGAGUAAGGAAGCAACGGCUAACUACGUG
rnacentral:rRNA from 1 species